GAUUGGAUUUGGGACUCUUGAUUGACUUAAUGCCUGGACAGUGGACUCUGCUGAGCAGUGCUGAGGUUGGACAACAUGGUAUUCCCAUGGAACUGAUGUCAGUGUUAGGCAUUAAGCUGCUUAAAUCUAUGUAAAAACAAAGAAGAGAAAUAAUAUUUCACCAUUUCCUUUAAAGUCUGUUUCUUGAGUUGGUGGUUUGUUUUCUUUCCCUGGUAGGAUGCUUCAGUUGAUUGAGAACAGGGAUUUUAUUUUAAAAUCAUUGCUGAAGGCUCGAUGCUGGUUAAUGUCCCUCUCAGAACUGGUGACUUUGAACUUAAUAUAGUUUGAGAAAUUCUGAUGAGUCAAGCCUGUGAUUUCAGGAGAAUAUACUGCAGCUUUCUUACUGGUUUCACAUUUACUUUUUUAAUAUCUCUAAAUUGAUCUCGCACAAAGCAUUUUAGUAGAAGGCAGUGAAGAACAGUGGUGUUUAAGCAGUGAGAAAACCACAUUUCAGCCUGACUUCGCUCUUGGCCAAGCAUACCAAUGCCAGUGGUACUGCAGCGGUGCUAUCAGACCUCUGGGAGGAAGCUGUGGCUGGAGAGCACUGUUUCUUUACUACUGAUUUUGUGGUGAUUUCAGCGAGGCCGCUAUUAGAGGUAGCUGAUAUGCCAAAAGUAAUGGUUACUGAAAUAGCUGAUUUUGCUAAUUCUUGAACAGCACGAACAAGUAGACUUAUAUCUGCUUUAAGCAAAUUAUUCUGAAAGAAAUCACUGCUAUGAGGGAGUUGGCACUUCAGUGGGAAAACAGCAUAGGUCUCUCUUCACGUGUACUGUAAUCCCAUGUACUUUCCUAAACAUGUCUUGUAAUGCAUCUCUGGCAAAUUUUGUUUUCUCCUAGCACUAGUUGAUUGAAUCUUGGCAAAAGAAACAGAAGCCAGUGCUCACUAGAAUCACAGGACCUUUCCUACAGCUCUUCUUGAACAUAAGCUGCUCUUCCUGAAGACUAUGUUCAUCACCAGGAAGUGUGCAGGCAAUGAAUACUUGGGUGACAGGCAAGUGUAGGAACACCAGCUCUCUCAGAACAAGGUGUGUGUAUCACAAACCCUGAGCAUCAUUAAAAUACAAGCAAACCCACAAAAGGUUGCUCCAUCACAUCCCUAAGUCCUGCUGCCCGCCCUUUACCCACUUCUUACAAAGUCUGGAUGCUGAGAGCAGAAAUUGGAGUGCUGUGGAGCUGUCAGUGCUGGGUUGGGUCGCUGUCAGUGGGGGAUGGUGAGAGAAGUGAUCCUUUUAUUUGGGUUUUAAAUAGUUGAGUUUCAAGUCAAUUUAAUGUGUACACGUGCAUAUAUAUAAGAAUAAUGUUAAUUUUGAACUGAUUCUAACGCUUAGACUUGAAAUUUGUGUGGUAAUUUGAACUUCAAUCAAAACAUUAUUAACCUCCCCAUUAUUGCCAAUGAUUAGGAGUUGAUAUGACCUAAAGGCAAAACUAGGCUCUGACAAGUCUUGUUGCUCCCAGGGCAUCAGAGUGUCCACUGCCAGGAGCAGUCAUUGGCUCAGUUUUGGUGCAGUGCUCGUGUCUGAGCUGCCUGCAGCGUGUUUGCAUGGGCUCCAUGCUUUUCCAGCCCUGCUGCUGCAAACCUACACUGGUAUGCAGGAGGCACAGUAAUUCAGCCUUCAGCAGUGAGAGCUGAAUUUAGCCACUGAUGGAUCCAAAUCUAGGAAACCAAUUGGGAGCUUAGGGAGAAAAGCUGCUGUGAUCUUCACAUCUAUCAACAAAUAGUGGAUGAGGAAGAAGGAGAUACACUAUUUCUAAAGCUUUUAAUGUAAUAACCGGAAGCAACUACUUCAGUUUGCUAUUUAAUAAAACCUUGGGCUUUCAACAUUCAAAAUGCUGGAAAAAGAAAAGAAUUAUGUAAUGAAGAAUUAGCAAUAUAAGUUUUAUUUAAUCUCAUUUUAAUUCGAUGCCAGGUUUUAUCCAAAUAUAUAGAAAAUGAGUAAAACUGUUCACCUAAGUUGUAAGAAUCUCGUUCAACCCUUCCAAGCAUUAAAGUAUAAACAUUAAAAAUCUGAAUAAAUAUAAACUAUAAAAAUGCUUAAAUAAAUUGCUUAAAUACAAAAAUGUAUUCCAUGCAUUCAUAAAUUCUCGCCGGUAAUGAGAAGUACAGAAGUCUGCUGGUAAUCAUUUCCUUCUCUUGGAAAUAAUUGCAAGAUAAAAAUAUAAAUAACAUUAAAAUCACUGAAAUCACACUUCCCUGUUUGUUAUUAACAUAAUAACCAGUUAAUUAAAUCACUCUGGCUUACGUCAGUGCACUCUUUUUACAUGAUGUUGCAAAUAUAACAGUAUAAAUAGUUUUAUAAUAAAUAAAGUCAAUAACUUAAGUCACUCAUCUUUUAAAUAUUAAACUAGAUCAUAUAGCUAUGAACAGGAAAGCAGUACAUUGUUAGCAUUGUUCCUGGCAUCAAACUGAUCGUAAAUGGUGGACGGGCACACAGCAAAGCUCUAGGAUCCUGCAGGUAUUUUGUCAUGCUGACAUAUUAGAUUGCUCCUGAACUGUACGUUUUUGUUGUGUUUUGCAUAAAUUGUUCAUAUUUCUCCAAAACCCUCCAGAUGUACAUCUUCUUCUGUGCUGUUCUCAUUGCCUGGAUGUCGUUCCGAAUGCUCAGCAGAAGGUCCUUGUUCUUGCAGCUGUGAAGCGCAUCUCUUUCAAGCAGCGUCAUGUUCAACUGGAUGGUGUUUACGUUCACAAAGGCAGUGAAAUUCUUACCACAAAUCAUUUCUAUAUCGCUUCUUAGGGUUUCUAAAACAUUGUAAAAUGUGUGCAUGCAGCAGUCUGCUUCCGCAGCUGGGCAUGUGGGUAUUUUCUUCAUCAUUUCAUUGACUUGGGUGUCAGCAGUUAGCCAGGUUUUGGUUGCUUCUGUUAUAGGACUGCAUCCAUUCUGCAGGGGAGGAAGAGAGACCGUUAUUCUUUUGGUUUCCAUCUUUCCUGGUAGUUUCCAUGUUAGACUAUGUAGGAGUAUUCAGUUGUGUCUGCUUGAGGUUCUGUUGUUAUUGUUCAAUAGCUGUAUAACACCUACUGUCCUUUAAGUCUUGCACACUAUCUGUGACUGUGCAGCACUUUCUAUCUUAAUAAUCUACUUGUCAUGGUUUUUGGCACUUCUAAGUCUUUUUGUUGUUGUCAUACAGGUAAAAUUUUGUCAUGCUUUUACAGUGUUUUUAUCUGUUUUAGCAGAAAAGGUUUAGAUUUCAAGAAUGAAUUCAGGGGAAGUGUUUUACGCUGAUUUUUUAUCAGUGCAUUCCUAGGAACACGUUCUCAGGAAUUGAAACUUGCCUUCAGCACUGAUCCUUCGAUUCAGUUCUUGUUUUUGCUGUCUCCAAGGAAAGGCUGAGCAGGAUUUUUUUCAGAAGUGCACCUGGCUGCCCUAGCAUUAUGGUCAAACUGAAGAGUAAGGCAGUCCUCUCUGUCUACCCCGUGAUCUGAGCACUGACACUGGUUUCAUCCACAAAGCUGCCUGCUUCAAGCUCAGUGUGAAUUAGGAGAUGAUGAAAAAUGCAUGAAUCUGGAAGGCGAGAGCUGCCUAACCAUCCUAGACAGUGCUCCAACUCGAUCGCAAGCUCUUGGUGCCAAGGAGACCAAAGAAGCCAGAGAACAGAAGAGGAAGAUCGCAAAUGUGAUUUCUGCAUUCAAUUGAAGAGGAAAAAAAAAAAGUACACUGAGUACAGUCUCAAACCUCUACAUCAUUUUUGCAAAACUCACUGGUUUUGUGCACCACACGAGCGUUCUGGAGCAUACGGACUUCAAGCACCAGAGUGAAGGAGGAGCAUCACCCAUUGUAGCUGUGCAGCAAGGCUAAGUUGCACCCACCUGCUCUGCGUUCCAUGGUGGCUCAGGCAGCAGGAGUCUUGUGAGAUGCUGGUGUUCAAGCUGCUUGUUGGCUGGAGAGCUGUGGAUGGGGACAGCUAGGUGGUGUUUAAGUACCAUGACUUUUGCGUCAGUGGUUCUCCUCUGGUUUUUUGCGGAUGCUGGUGUGGGUUUUUUUCUUUUCUUGAAAGAUUGCAUCAAAAGUUGGUUCAAAUGCGUCGUCACUGAUUGUGAUCUAGAAUGCAGUUUCGAGCUGACACGGAUGGUGUCUUGUAUCAUCAAUUUGACUAGGAGUUCAGGAUGCUUGGCUUAACCAUCCUGUCUAAAUCCUUGGGAUCUCCAAACGGUACAAUUUAGAGCAUGAAUUCUGUUGUUUUCUUCCUCCAACGUGAUGAAGUGUGCAAGUACACAGCUGGGUUCCUGAAGGCAGCAACAGUCUCCUGCAGGGGCCAGUGCAAGAGUGGGCCAAUGCUGGAUGCGAAAGAACCACGAGGGACUCGUAUGCAAGACAGAUCAGGCUUUGGAUGAGUGUGCAUAACCCUAGCUGGAUCUCCGUAACACCUCGUGUACCAGAUGUAAGCCCCUGAGGCAUGCCAGCAGAGGAUGCCCAGGAACCACCUCUCAGCUUUUCGCCUUCUCUCUGACUCUGCUGAGGCUGUUUUCUCUGUGCCCAGUUACUAAAGGCAGGAGAACCUUAUAUGCAGCAAAACAGAAAGCCUGUUCCUAGAACUCAGAAAGACAAGCCUGUGAUCAGAAGAGGAGUUGCAGAUCUGCUGAUAUUUUAGGACAGAAAUUGAAGUAGAGGAAACUCUCAUAAACGCACCUUUGUGAAAAGGUAGAGUGACAAGCUUUCACUUGUACUACUAUGACUAGGGAAGUAGAGAAAAGCUAGAAAGUAGUGAGAGAUUCAAAGACAAAUGCAUGCCAGGUCCAGAAAACUUUCAAGGAGCAACAUUUCGGGAGUUAGUGUUUUCUGUGUGCAAUUAUCCAUCUGACAACGAAAGGCCUGACAUACAUAAGUUCCUAUGGUCUCAGGAACUGCUUAGUAGGAAUGAACUGAUUCCAAAGGCUUGAAAGGGAAAGGCAUUUCCCCUGUACCAUGUUGUGCUCAGGUCCAACUGGGCUGUAACUUCCGCCUCAGUGGUUGGCCUAAGGCCAUGUUACUGAGCUUCACAAAGAAAACAAGGUUCUUUUACUGCUCUCAGCAAGCCUGGGACUGAAGCAGAGGGAUGCAGCCAACCCAUGGUGUUGAGCUGCUCUGUCUGAGAAUGGGACAAUGUUUUUGCACAACCUGUGUUCCUGGUGCUAAACAGAACAAACAGAAUAUGUUAUCAUGGCCUGAGACGUGAUGUACGAGUACCGUAGAGUGCUGGAGAAGAAGCAGGAGAGCACCGUUCCGGCAGAGACUUCUUUUAUUUAGAGUUACGUGUUAUUUGGAGAUACAUAUUUCUUUGCAGAAGGUUGCCUUUAGGAACAUCUCAACAAAGACACCGAUGAGUAUAGGUGGUUCCUUUCAGGUAGGAGGACUGCAUCUUGGAGGGAUACUUGUUUGGAAGUGCAGAAAUGCAGUUGGUGAGAUUCCUCAUCUGCACUGCAACAGCAGGAGGCCAUCAGGUACUGCCAGUCCCUUCCAGUGGCCCCAGGUGGGUGCCACAGGGAGGAUGGAUGAGGAACUGCAGCACUCUUCCUCCUGAUGCAGCAAUUAGUUCUAGAACCAGUUCUAGAUUAUCCCUGACGCAACUGCAAUACAAAUAAAGGAAGCUUUCAUCUUGGCUUUUCUGCAGAAUAAAAUUCAGCCACUGGCAACGCUCUUUCAAAGAACUAUAGAAAGUUUGACUCAUUUUCUACUGGACUGAGGUUUGCCUGGUUAUUCUACUUCAUGCCAUGCCCCAGUCUCAUGCACGCUCCGCUUGUCCUUCCCUAUCUGUGCAGCUGUGAUAAGCUGCUGAGCUGAUAAGGGAGCAGAUUGAUAUCCGUCCUGUAAAACCCUGCAUGAGUGGAAGUUCAGCUUUCCACCACGUAAUUGCCAGGCGCUGCAGAGCAUCUGCAAUUCAUUUGGUGAAAUGUUGCUGACAUGGGUCUGAACACUCCCCAGAGUGGAAUCUGUUGCCGUCACCUGCACACCUAUCACUGGAAAAAACAAAGAAUCCUCUUGAGUGCAGAGACCUGAAUCUGACCUCAGACAGAGCUGGGGCUUUUGUCUCGAGGGGCAGCUGCUUUUUCCAGGCAGUACUUUUAGCCAUGAACUCAGUUUUCCGAUGACCUUGUGCUGCAGUGGCAUCAGUGCCCUCCACACAAACAAAUAAGGUGCUUUUACAGCUUGCAGCUCAUAGAGAACACGACUGCUUCCUCCCUGAAACUUGAGGGACACUCAGGAUAUAGAUAAGUGAAGUGGCAAAUGCCAUGUCUCAGGUCCUCGGCCGGGGAACAGGGCGAUGCUGCACCCCACGCACGCCUCCUGCUCUUUUCUUGCUUGGCUGCAGCCCCCAGAGCCUGGAAGAGUCCCUCAAAGCCUGGGAUUUCUACCCAGCUUGCAGCCCCAUAGAGCGCAGUCCGCAGUCCCCAGGACAUCCGUGUCUGUGUCAUUUCCUAGCGACGGGACGCGUUGCCAAGAGCCAGAGAAUUCCUGCAUGGCAGCGCCCGGCCCUCACAGCCUCUCGGCUGCUUUUCAGAAACACCUGCGGCGCCUGGGCCUGCGGGACUUCCCCUGCGGCCUGGGCAGCUGGAACAAGUCCCGCUUUGUCACGUAUGCAGGCUCCUCAGGGCAGGAGGAGGAGAGGCUGCUGGGUGAGGAGAGCCCUGAGGCGCUGCUGGAGCUGCUGCAGGACCCGCGCAGCCCCUGGACCCUGCCACCAGGCUGCAGCCCCCAGGACCAGCGCCUGCGCCGUGUGGCAGUGCUGGCUCCCCAGCUCACCUGCGGCACCCGUGUUCUCCGGCUCUUCAGGUCCCUGCGGAUUGUUGGCAAGGAUGUGGAGGAAGUCGAUGAGGGACUGUUGCAGUUACAGCACCUGGAAGAGCUCAUACUCUGUGCCAACCAGAUCAGCAGGAUCACCUCAGCCAACCUGCCCCGAACACUGAAGGUCCUGGAGCUCUGCUGCAAUGCCGUAUCUGAUCUGCAGGGUCUGUGUGCUCAACCUCCUCCAGAGCUGCAGCACUUGGGGCUGGGAUACAACAGGCUGCAUGGCCCUUUGCAAGACAAACACCUCACUGCAGACUUCUGGCCAAAUCUCAUCUCGCUUGACCUGAGCUUUAAUAAUCUAACGGAUCUGUUUGGGCUGGUCUCCCAGCUGUCCAGUCUGAAGAAGCUCCGCACCCUGCUGCUCCAAGGGAACCCACUGGCUCUCAUUCCCGCUUACAGAGGCUUCGUUGUGGACAGCCUGCCUAAGCUUUCCUUCCUUGAUGACAUCCACAUAGGGCUCGACGAGAGGUACCAGUUCCGUGGCUUAUCGAAGCAGCCAGAGCUGAUAAAAAAUGAAGCACGAGUGGUUGUGAGCAUUGGGAAAAUCAAGGGAGUUCCUGAUCCUAGCACACUCCAGGAGCUGGAGAUUGGGUCUGAGGCACCAGUGAUCACCUACAGCUUCUGUGUGACCUACGAGUUUGCAGCAGAGGAGACUGAGGAUGGUGGCACUGAGGUAAAAAUUCAUCAGAGUCCUGUGGUGGCCACUCUGGAUGUGGACAACUCUGCAUGGGACUUGAGGGAAACAAAGGGCCAGCAGGAGUGUGCAGCCAUGGAGGACCCUGCUGCACAUACUGCAAAGGUGUUUGUCACCCCUGGAGAACCCUGGGCAGAAACAAUUGACUGCAGCUACAGAAAAGAGCACACUGCCAAGGAUUUAGUGGGGCUGAAGGACUACCUGCAAACUGGAACGAUUGUCUCGAUAGUGGAGGAGAAGGUGCUCUGGUGGCCCGUCAGUGCUGACUCCGAGGAAAAUGCAGUAAAAAGUGGGAAGGAAAAACGGGAGCUAAAGAAGGACAGAGCCAAGGGUCCUGGUCCCAGAGACAAGCAGAAGAAAAAGAAGAAGAAGGAGAAGCCACGUGAGCUUCGCAGUGACCCACCCAUUCAGAGGAUCCUGGGCUCUGAGAGGGUGGCCCUGGAUACCUUGCUGGCCACUGAGACAGUGAUGGCAACUGUGUGUGACUUCGGGAUCCUUAUCACCGAGCAGCUGCUGCAGUCACCGAGUCAGGAGGAGAAGCUGGACAAGAAAAAAGGCAAAGCCAAGAGCAAAAAAACAAAAGCAAAGAAGGAAAGCAAGAAAGCCACAGCGCCUGCCAAAGGAAAGAAAAAAAACGGACAUUCUGCUGAGGAGGAGGAGGAGGGAUGUGUGAUGCAGCCGGUGCCGCUGACAGUUGAAUUCCAGAUGCAGCUGCUUCGGUGGCCCGCGGCCGGCACCCAGCAAGGGGAGAGCAUGACCGAGGCUGCAGAGAAAGCUCAGUGAUGCGUCCGUAGCCAAAGAGCGAGCAGCAGAGGGCCUGCAUUCUGCACCAGAGGUUGCUAUGUAUCCCAGGAUUAAAAGCCUUGCACUUUCUGCCUUUUCAGUCACGCUGCUGGCAUCUCUUUUUUACAUCAGGAGAGAAACUAAGCUGCUAACGUCACCAGAGGACCAGAAGAGCUUCACCGCGUCUUCCUGACUUACAGGCACUGCCGAAACUUCUCCAUCCUGCUGAAGCCUUCCAGGUGUAGCCAAGAGACC